rnacentral:rRNA from 1 species
CCUACUGGAGGCAGCAGUGAGGAAUAUUGGUCAAUGGACGCAAGUCUGAACCAGCCAUGCCGCGUGCAGGAAGACGGCUCUAUGAGUUUUAAACUGCUUUUGUACGAGGGUAAACGCAGCUACGCGUCUCUGUCUGAAAGUAUCGUACUAAUAAGGAUCUGCUCACUCCGUGCCAGCAGCCGCGGUAAUACGGAGGAUUCAAGCGUUCUCCGGAUUUAUUGGGUUUAAAGGGUGCGUAGGCGGUCGGAUAAGUUAGAGGUGAAAUCCCGAGGCUCAACUUCGGAAUUGCCUCUGAUACUGUUCGGCGAGAGAGUAGUUGCGGUAGGCGGAAUGUGGGGGGUAGCGGUGAAAUGCUUAGAGAUCAUACAGAACACCGAUUGCGAAGGCAGCUUACCAAGCUACUUCUGACGUUGAGGCACGAAAGCGUGGGGAGCAAACAGGAUUAGAUACCCGGGUAGUC